rnacentral:rRNA from 1 species
UACGUAGGGGGCGAGCGUUGUCCGGAUUUAUUGGGCGUAAAGGGCGCGUAGGCGGUCUUGUAAGUCUUGUGUGAAAUCCCUCGGCUUAACUGAGGAACUGCACGAGAUACUGCAAGACUUGAGAUCGGGAGAGGGAAGCGGAAUUCCGGGUGUAGCGGUGAAAUGCGUAGAUAUCCGGAGGAACACCGGUGGCGAAGGCGGCUUCCUGGACCGACACUGACGCUGAGGCGCGAAAGCUAGGGGAGCAAACGGG